GCCGGGCGUGGUGGCGCAUGCCUAUAGUCCCAGCUACUCGGAAGGCUGAGGUGGGAGGAUCGCUUGAGCCCAGGAGUUCUGAGCUGUAGUGCGCUAUGCCAAUUGGGUGUCCGCACUAAGUUCGGCAUCAAUAUGGUGACCUCCUGGGAGCGGGGGACCACCAGGUUGCCUAAGGAGGGGUGAACCAGCCCAGGUCAGAAACAGAGCAGCUCAAAACUCCCGUGCUGAUCAGUAGUGGGAUCGCACCUGUGAAUAGCCACUGUACUCCAGCCUGGGCAACAUAGCGAGACCCCCAUCUCU
rnacentral:SRP_RNA from 1 species